rnacentral:rRNA from 1 species
UAGGGAAUCUUCCGCAAUGGACGAAAGUCUGACGGAGCAACGCCGCGUGAGUGAAGAAGGAUUUCGGUUCGUAAAACUCUGUUGUUAGGGAAGAAAAAAUGUAUAGUAACUAUAUACAAAAGAGACGGUACCUAACCAGAAAGCCACGGCUAACUACGUGCCAGCAGCCGCGGUAAUACGUAGGUGGCAAGCGUUGUCCGGAAUUAUUGGGCGUAAAGCGCGCGCAGGUGGUUUAGAAAGUCUGAUGUGAAAGCCCACGGCUCAACCGUGGAGGGUCAUUGGAAACUAAUAAACUUGAGUGCAGGAGAGAAAAGUGGAAUUCCUAGUGUAGCGGUGAAAUGCGUAGAGAUUAGGAGGAACACCGGUGGCGAAGGCGACUUUCUGGACUUGAACUGACGCUGAGGCACGAAAGCGUGGGGAGCAAACAGG